rnacentral:sRNA from 1 species
UACAAGAGUCGUCGCUUGGUCGAUCGC